UACGUAGGCAGCGAGCGUUGUUCGGAAUUACUGGGCGUAAAGAGUGUGUAGGCGGUGCUCUAAGUUCGGUGUGAAAUCUCCCGGCUUAACUGGGAGGGUGCGCCGGAAACUGGAGUGCUCGAGCGUGGGAGAGGAAAGCGGAAUUCCUGGUGUAGCGGUGAAAUGCGUAGAUAUCGGGAGGAACACCUGCGGUGUAGACGGCUUUCUGGACCAUUGCUGACGCUGAGACACGAAAGCGUGGGUAGCAAACAGG
rnacentral:rRNA from 1 species